rnacentral:pre_miRNA from 1 species
CACACCUGUAAUCCCAGCACUUUGGGAGGCUGAGGCAGGCCAAGGCAAUCCGGCCACCUUGGCCUCCCAAAGUGCUGGGGUUACAGCCACU